UUUCAUGGGCUGGCCCAGAUGUGGGAUUAGAGGGAAAAAGAGGGGGUGGUGCCUGAGAGCUGUCAGAAAUCAAAAAAGAGAGAAAAAAACAACUCAGACUUUUCAUUGCAGAAUGAAAAAAACCUCAUCUUACUGAAGAUUGAAUGAGCUAAUCCAGGUAAUGUGGCUAGCACAGAGAAUGUGGGCUCCUCCUCUGGAUACCCAAGAAAUAUAAACGCUGAAAUGCAGAUGCAUCAUCAUGCCACCCUCAUCUGUUUGGCUCAGCCUUGUGGCCAUGGUCACAGUCUCAAUCAAGUCCCUGUUGGCACCUCGGCUGACACCUUCUCCAGAGGAAGGAAGGAGUGAAAGGGGGCUGAUUUCUAGUUUGCUCUGUAUCACUUGACCUGGUUCUGCUGAAGCAGAAUUUUGGAACUUAACCUAGUUCCAAAGGCAUCCUAAAAUUUGAGUGAUUCUUUGGAGGUCUUGUAAUCCAAACAAACUUCAGAAAUUGCAAUAGCCAACCUAGGCUGAAACUGCUUCCUGAGGUCCAGUCAAUAACUGACUUCAUCAGUGUGAUGGUUUAUUUUCUGUGUCAACUGGACUGGGCCAUGGAGUACCCAGACAUUUUGUCAAGUACAAUUCUAGGUGUUUCUGGAUGAAAUUAAUAUUUGAAUCAGUACACUAAGUAAAACAGUUUGCCCUCCCUAGUGUGGGUGUGUCUUAGCCAAUAAGUGGAAGGAAUCAGGAGAACACAAAGGCAGUUAUCCCAUUAAUAAAAGGGAGCCCUGCUGCAUGCCUGCCUUCCAACUGGGUAUCCCUGCCUUUGAACUUGAACUGAAACACUGUCUCUUCCUCAGUGACAAGCCUACCAGUCUUUGGGCUGGAACUUUACCAUCAACUCUCCCAGGAAUCCAGCUUGUCAGCUGCAGAUCUUGGGAUGCAUUAGUUGCAUAAGCACUUGAGUCAAUUUCUUGCAAAAAAAUCCCCUUCUCUCUACAUAUGCAUUCUAUUGGUUCUGUUCCUAGGAUCAAUCUACUGCCAGCACUGCAUUACCAUAACUAUCCCUCGCCUUCCUUGCUUCAACUUAAGAAA
rnacentral:lncRNA from 1 species